GGCAAUGGAAUAUGCUUACUUUGUCACUUUUCUUCUGACACUUUACACAAGUGUGCAGAGCCAGGAAGCAGUAACACAGACACCACAUACACUUGCUGCAAAUGAGGGUAAAGAUGUGGAGUUUUCCUGCAAAGUCAGAGCUGCUGAUGACACUAUUGUGUGGUACAAACAGGUGCCUAACCAUGGAUUACAGGUCAUGAUUCAUACUUAUGGUAAAACCAAAAUGAGUGGUCGAUUUAAAUUGACAAAACACAACAACACUCUCUGGGUGUUCAGCCUCAGUAAGGUGAUGUUACAAGAUUCCGCCUUACACUUCUGCGCAGCUAGUGGCACAGAGGUACAGAUGCAGGAACUCUUGAGACAUAAAGUAUAUCCUGUCACGAGCGUCUGUAGUACUGAUACCCUCUGGCAAGGAAAAUAAAUAUCUCACAGGCUGUCUGUACUGCACCUUUUCUUACUGGAAUGCAGUUUUCUGAAUGUCAAUCAAAUUAAAUAUUUUAAACAUCUA